UAGCCACACGGUUGGUUCAGAGGUGAU
rnacentral:piRNA from 1 species